GCAUGAGAAGGUGCUCUGGCUCUGACAUCCAUCACCACAUUGAUCUCCAGUGUGGACAGGCUGAAGUAGCCUGCUAGAUGUCCCUUUGUCGCCUUCCUCCCUGACUGCUUCAUAUGUACCCCUCCUGAAACUGCACAGAGAGGACGCCUCCCCUGGAUGGAGGACUGCUGUCAUGCAGUCAAGGGUAAAUGGCCAGCCUUCUCUAGGGCAAGCUUUCAAGAAGAAACAAACAAACAAAAAACCAAAAAAACAUUU
ensembl:misc_RNA 7SK 7SK RNA